CGAGCGGGGAAGGUAGCUUGCUACCUAACCUAGCGGCGGACGGGUGAGUAAUGCUUAGGAAUCUGCCUAUUAGUGGGGGACAACAUUCCAAAAGGAAUGCUAAUACCGCAUACGUCCUACGGGAGAAAGCAGGGGACCUUCGGGCCUUGCGCUAUUAGAUGAGCCUAAGUCGGAUUAGCUAGUUGGUGGGGUAAAGGCC
rnacentral:rRNA from 1 species